AUGGGGACGAAAGUUAAUAUUAUAGUAGGCUCACAUGUGUGGGCUGAAGAACCUGAUGUUGCUUGGGUCGAUGGAGAAGUUGUUAAGAUCAAUGGCGACGAGGCUGAGAUCCAAGCAGCCAAUGGAAAAAAGAUCGUUUCAAAAUUGUCGAAAUUAUAUCCCAAAGAUAUGGAAGCAGCUGCUGGUGGAGUUGAUGACAUGACAAAGCUCUCCUAUCUCCAUGAGCCAGGAGUUUUGCAGAAUUUGGCCACCAGAUAUGAACUUAAUGAAAUCUAUACAUACACUGGAAAUAUUCUCAUUGCUGUGAAUCCUUUCCAAAGAUUGCAACAUUUAUAUGACUCACAUAUGAUGCAACAGUACAAGGGUGCACCAUUUGGUGAGUUAAGUCCGCAUGUUUUUGCUGUCGCAGAUGUUGCAUACAGGGCUAUGAUUCAUGAAGGAAGGAGCAACUCUAUUCUCGUGAGUGGUGAGAGUGGUGCUGGUAAAACAGAAACAACAAAAAUGCUUAUGCAGUAUCUUGCCUAUUUGGGUGGCCGCGCUGCAACAGAAGGAAGAACAGUAGAACAACAAGUUCUUGAAUCAAAUCCAGUCCUUGAAGCUUUUGGCAAUGCCAAGACUGUCAGAAAUAACAAUUCUAGUCGAUUUGGUAAGUUUGUUGAGAUUCAAUUUGAUAAGCAUGGGAGGAUCUCAGGUGCUGCUGUCAGAACAUACCUGCUUGAAAGGUCACGAGUAUGCCAAAUUUCUGAUCCUGAACGCAACUACCACUGCUUUUAUCUCCUUUGUGCGGCACCACAGGAGGAACUUGAUAAGUACAAAUUAGAAAAUCCUAGGACUUAUCAUUAUCUUAAUAAAUCAAAUUGCUACGAUUUGGUUGGGGUCAGUGAUGCUCGUGAAUAUUUGGCUACCAGAAGAGCAAUGGAUAUUGUUGGUAUCAGUACCCAGGAACAGGAUGCUAUUUUCAGGGUGGUUGCAGCUAUUCUUCAUAUUGGCAACAUUGAAUUUGCCAAGGGGAAAGAAGUUGAUUCCUCAGUUUUGAAAGAUGACAAAUCUAAGUUCCAUCUUGAAACAGCUGCUGAACUCCUUAUGUGUGAUCCUGGAGCUUUUACAGAUGCUCUCUGUAAGCGUGUCAUGGUAACACCAGAGGAGGUUAUAAAAAGGAGUCUUGAUCCUUACAGCGCAACUAUCAGCAGGGAUGGUUUUGCAAAGACAAUAUAUUCCCGCUUGUUCGAUUGGCUUGUUGAUAAAAUUAAUAGUUCCAUCGGGCAAGAUGCUAACUCUAAAUGUCUUAUUGGUGUCCUGGAUAUCUAUGGUUUUGAGAGCUUUAAGUCAAACAGUUUUGAACAGUUCUGUAUUAAUUAUACAAAUGAGAAAUUACAGCAACAUUUCAAUCAGCACGUUUUUAAGAUGGAGCAAGAGGAAUACACUAAAGAACAAAUUGAUUGGAGCUAUAUUGAGUUUGUCGAUAAUCAAGAUGUUCUUGAUCUUAUUGAGAAGAAACCUGGUGGCGUUAUUGCACUUCUAGAUGAGGCAUGUAUGUUUCCCAAGUCAACACACGAGACCUUUGCCCAGAAGCUGUACCAGACUUUUCAAAAGCAUAAACGGUUUGUCAAACCUAAGCUAUCUCGCACAGAUUUUGCAAUCGCUCACUACGCUGGAGAGGUGCUGUAUCAGUCUGACCAAUUCCUUGACAAAAACAAAGACUACGUUGUGGCAGAGCACCAGGAGCUACUGAGCGCUUCUAGAUGCUCCUUUAUCGCAGGAUUAUUUCCUCCUCCGCCAGAGGAAACAUCAAAAUCCUCGAAGUUUUCUUCGAUUGGUGCACGCUUCAAGCAACAACUUCAAGCUCUUAUGGACACAUUAAAUUCUACCGAACCUCAUUAUAUCAGAUGUGUUAAGCCAAACAAUGUCCUAAAACCGGCAAUUUUUGAGAAUGUCAAUGUUAUGCAACAGUUGCGUUGUGGUGGUGUACUUGAGGCAAUCAGGAUCAGUUGUGCCGGUUAUCCUACACGUCGCACAUUUUAUGAGUUUUUGCAUCGUUUUGGAAUACUCGCUCCAGAUGCCAUUGAAGGAAAUUGUGAUGAAAAGGCUGCAUGCAAGAGGAUUCUGGAAAAGAAGGGUCUUAUAGGCUUUCAGAUAGGUAAAACAAAAGUUUUUCUGAGAGCCGGACAGAUGGCUGAAUUAGAUGCUAGAAGAACUGAAGUUCUCAGUGUUGCUGCAAAAACAAUUCAAGGGAAAAUACGAACACAUAUCAUGCGGAAGAAGUUUGUUUCUUUGAGGAAGGCAUCUGUAUGUUUUCAGGCAGUUUGGAGAGGAACAUUGGCUUGUAAACUCUAUGAUCGCAUGCGGAGGCAAGCAGCUUCUGUCAAAAUUCAGAAAAACCAACGUGGGCAUCAGGCUAGGAGGUCCUACAAACUGCAAGUUUCUUCAGUUCUCGUAAUACAAGCAGCAUUGCGUGCAAUGGCAGCAAGGAAUGAGUUCAGACAUAAAAAGCGAUCUAAGGCAGCGGUUACAAUUCAGGCUCGUUAUAGGUGCCAUCGAGCUCAUUCAUACCAUAAGAAGUUAAAGGCUGCAGCCAUUGUUGCACAAUGCAGAUGGCGGGGAAGGAUUGCAAGGAAAGAACUCAGGAAACUUAAAAUGGAAGCAAGGGAAACGGGUGCACUCAAGCAAGCAAAGGAUAAACUUGAAAAGACAGUGGAAGAGCUUACAUGGCGUGUGCAGUUAGAGAAGCGAAUGCGGACAGAUUUGGAAGAAGCAAAAGCCCAGGAGUUAUCAAAAUUUCAGAGUUCCAUGGAUGCCCUGCAAGCUAAAUUGGAUGAGACAAAUGCAGUGCUUCUAAAGGAACGAGAAGCUGCUAAAAAGGCUAUCGCGGAAGCACCUCCUGUGGUAAAGGAAACUGAGGUUAUAGUCCAAGACACUGAGAAGGUUCAUACCUUGAAAGCAGAGGUAGAUGAACUUAAGACCUCGCUUCAAUCAGAAAAACAAAGAGCGGAUGAAUUAGAAAAGAAACGCUCCAAGGAAGCACAAGCAAAUGAAGAAAAGCAAAAGAAGAUAGAAGAGACUGAAGUAAAAAUACGCCAAUUUCAGGACUAUCUGAGAAGGCUAGAGGAGAAGUUAUCUAAUGUAGAAUCUGAAAAUAAAGUCCUUCGUCAGCAAGCUGUUUCAGUGGCUCCAGCUAAAAUUUUGUCGGGACGUUCCAAGUCGAAUUUACAGAGGAAUGCGGAAAGUGGUCAUGUAUCAGUUAGCGAUUCAAAAAUAACUCCUGAGUCCGCUGUUGUAGCCUCUCCUAAAAAGGAAUAUGACAUAGACGAUAAGCCACAGAAAUCUCUAAAUGAAAAGCAGCAGGAAAAUCAAGAUCUGUUAAUUAGGUGCAUAGCCCAGCAUUUGGGAUUUGCCGGGAAUCGGCCAGUUGCUGCUUGUAUUAUAUACAAGUGCCUUCUUCAUUGGAGAUCAUUUGAAGUAGAACGGACAAGUGUUUUUGAUCGGAUUAUUCAGACCAUUGGACAUGCAAUUGAGACACAGGACAAUAAUGAAGUCUUAGCAUAUUGGCUCUCAAAUGCUUCAACGCUGUUGCUUUUGCUUCAGCGGACGCUGAAAGCGAGUGGGUCAACAGGAAUGGCUCCACAGCGUCGACGGUCGUCCUCUGCUACUCUUUUUGGAAGGAUGACACAGAGCUUCAGAGGGACUCCACAAGGUGUAAAUCUUGCUCUAAUAAAUGGAAGCAUGGUUAGUGGAGUAGAGACACUGAGACAAGUGGAAGCCAAGUAUCCCGCUUUACUGUUUAAACAGCAACUUACGGCAUAUGUAGAGAAGAUAUAUGGAAUGAUCCGGGAUAAUUUGAAGAAAGAGAUCUCUCCUUUGCUCGGAUUGUGCAUUCAGGCCCCAAGAACAUCAAGAGCAAGCAUGAUGAAAGGAUCUUCUCGCUCAAACACAAAUACAGCUGCACAGCAAGCUUUGAUUGCUCACUGGCAAGGGAUUGUGAAAAGCCUCGGAAAUUUCUUGAACAUACUUAAAGUGAACAAUGUUCCUCCAUUCUUGGUGCGGAAAGUAUUCACUCAGAUAUUCUCCUUCAUCAAUGUACAGCUAUUUAACAGUCUUCUAUUAAGAAGGGAGUGCUGCUCAUUCAGUAACGGCGAGUACGUAAAAGCAGGAUUAGCUGAACUUGAGCAUUGGUGCUAUAGAGCUACUGACGAGUAUGCAGGUUCAGCCUGGGAUGAGCUUAAACAUAUUAGACAAGCUAUUGGUUUCCUGGUGAUUCAUCAAAAGCCAAAGAAAACGUUGGACGAAAUAAGUCAUGACCUCUGUCCAGUACUUAGUAUACAACAGCUAUACAGGAUCAGUACUAUGUACUGGGAUGACAAGUACGGAACACAUAGCGUGUCCCCAGAGGUCAUAUCAAACAUGAGAGUAUUGAUGACAGAAGACUCCAACAAUCCUGUAAGCAAUUCGUUUCUACUGGAUGAUGACUCAAGCAUACCGUUCUCCGUCGAUGACAUAUCCAAAUCAAUGCAGCAGAUUGACAUAUCUGACAUCGAACCGCCCCCACUCAUCCGGGAGAACUCGGGCUUUGUAUUCUUGUUGCCGCCCCCUGAAUAA
rnacentral:rRNA from 1 species